rnacentral:rRNA from 1 species
AGAGUUUGAUUCUGGCUCAGAACGAACGCUGGCGGCGUGGAUAAGACAUGCAAGUCGAACGAGAGAAUUGCUAGCUUGCUAAUAAUUCUCUAGUGGCGCACGGGUGAGUAACACGUGAGUAACCUGCCCCCAAGAGUGGGAUAGCCCCGGGAAACUGGGAUUAAUACCGCAUAAAAUCGCAAGAUUAAAGCAGCAAUGCGCUUGGGGAUGGGCUCGCGUCCUAUUAGUUAGUUGGUGAGGUAACGGCUCACCAAGGCGAUGACGGGUAGCCGGUCUGAGAGGAUGUCCGGCCACACUGGAACUGAGACACGGUCCAGACACCUACGGGUGGCAGCAGUCGAGAAUCAUUCACAAUGGGGGAAACCCUGAUGGUGCGACGCCGCGUGGGGGAAUGAAGGUCUUCGGAUUGUAAACCCCUGUCAUGUGGGAGCAAAUUAAAAAGAUAGUACCACAAGAGGAAGAGACGGCUAACUCUGUGCCAGCAGCCGCGGUAAUACAGAGGUCUCAAGCGUUGUUCGGAAUCACUGGGCGUAAAGCGUGCGUAGGCGGUUUCGUAAGUCGUGUGUGAAAGGCGGGGGCUCAACCCCCGGACUGCACAUGAUACUGCGAGACUAGAGUAAUGGAGGGGGAACCGGAAUUCUCGGUGUAGCAGUGAAAUGCGUAGAUAUCGAGAGGAACACUCGUGGCGAAGGCGGGUUCCUGGACAUUAACUGACGCUGAGGCACGAAGGCCAGGGGAGCGAAAGGGAUUAGAUACCCCUGUAGUCCUGGCAGUAAACGGUGCACGCUUGGUGUGCGGGGAAUCGACCCCCUGCGUGCCGGAGCUAACGCGUUAAGCGUGCCGCCUGGGGAGUACGGUCGCAAGAUUAAAA